rnacentral:lncRNA from 1 species
UUGUAUUGGAGGGAACGUAACCCCACGCCCUUAGAGAGAAAGCCAGGUUUUCCUUUCAAAUGUAGGAAUCGUGGGACAAUCUUGAGAGCAAGUCUUUAGAUUUUUACUUCUUUCUCUGCCUUCUACCAUCCAUGGAGAAGACCCAAGUGAUCUCAAAGGUUUGCAGUGACGGACAGUUCCUGGGAUGCCAUAGCAACAAUUCAGAGCUCAUGGUGACUUGACAUCUUCGGCUUUGAUCCUUCGGUUGGAACCUGCUGAUAGGAAAGCUGACUUAACUGAUGGCACAAGUGUACUCUGAACCAGAACCCACUUCGGUCUUCACCGUGACAGCCUGAGCCCUGCUGACUGAGAGGCGGCAUUUUGAUCUUCCUCACUUAAGGGAGCUGACCCAAGUGAUAUGAGAAGUUUGCUGUGAUGGACAGUUUCUGGGUGCUUUGCCAACAAUCCAGAGUACAUGGUGACAUGUCAACUCCAGCUGUGAUCCUCCUGUGUGGCACUGACUUACAGGAAUGGCGACCCAACAGAUGGUACCAGCAUGCUGAGAUAUAGAACCACCCUUGUAUCACCACUGUGACAUCUCAGAGCUUUGCCGACCAAGAGGCAACAUCUUGAUCUUCCUUGCCCACCAGCUUGCAGGUACGUUUAGUGGCAGGAAACUGUGUCUUCCU